CUGGCGGCGUGCCUAACACAUGCAAGUCGAACGAGAAAGUGGAGCAAUCCAUGAGUAAAGUGGCGACCGGGUGAGUAACACGUGACUAACCUACCCUCGAGUGGGGAAUAACUCCGGGAAACCGGGGCUAAUACCGCAUAACAUCGCAAGAUCAAAGCAGCAAUGCGCUUGAGGAGGAGGUCGCGGCUGAUUAGCUAGUUGGCGGGGUAACGGCCCACCGAGGCGAAGAUCGGUAUCCGGCCUGAGAGGGCGCACGGACACACUGGAACUGAAACACGGUCCAGACUCCUACGGGAGGCAGCAGUGGGGAAUUUUGCGCAAUGGGGGAAACCCUGACGCAGCAACGCCGCGUGGAGGAUGAAGCCCUUUGGGGCGUAAACUCCUUUCGACUCGGACGAUAAUGACGGUACGAGUGGAAGAAGCACCGGCUAACUCUGUGCCAGCAGCCGCGGUAAUACAGAGGGUGCGAGCGUUGUUCGGAAUUAUUGGGCGUAAAGGGCGCGUANGCGGUGCGGUAAGUCACCUGUGAAAUCUCCUGGCUUAACUGGGAGCCUGCAGGCGAAACUACCGUGCUGGAGUGUGGGAGAGGUGCGUGGAAUUCCCGGUGUAGCGGUGAAAUGCGUAUAUAUCGGGAGGAACACCUGUG
rnacentral:rRNA from 1 species